UUUCUAUACAUAUAUAACCAUGCCAUAUGUUGAGUAACUAGGAUUUAACCCGCGGAUUACCGCGGACAAUCGGUUUAUUUGGUUCUUAUACUAAAUAUUUGAAUAAAUAUGAUAUUUUAAACAUAUAAAUAUAAAUUUCUAGUGAUUAGUGAAAAAUCGUAAUAUAUAAUUUGGAUAUUAUUGAUUAUUGAUUUUGUGAUUGAAUAUAGUGUUUUUAAGGAUGGAAUGUGAUUAUAUUUUGAUUUAAAAAAUGACAUAGAUUCUUUAUUUUUGUUGAACGAUUUAGAUUAAAGGGAAUUAAUUUUAUUGAACGGUUUAGAUUGAAUCGGAUUAUAUAAAGUUUAGGAGAUUGUUAAGACCAAAUUACCCUUAAUGAUUUUGAAUAGCAAAGAACAAAAUUCAAAAUUGAAAUAAAAAUUGAGGCUAAAUUAGACAAAAUUUUAAUUUAU
rnacentral:sRNA from 1 species